rnacentral:rRNA from 1 species
UACGAAGGUGGCAAGCGUUACUCGGAAUUACUAGGCGUAAAGGGCAGGUAGGUGGUUUGGUUAGUCUGUUGUGAAAGCUCCUUGCUUAACGGGGAGAGGCCAACAGAUACUGCCAGACUUGAGUAUAGGAGAGGGUACUGGAAUUCCCGGUGUAGCGGUGAAAUGCGCAGAUAUCAGGAGGAACACCGGUGGCGAAGGCGGAUCUCUGGGCCUUACCUGACGCUGAGGCGCGAAAGCUAGGGGAGCAAACAGG